GGAUAACAGGCUGAUGGUUUCCAAGAGUCCAUCGACAAAGUUGUUUGGAU
rnacentral:rRNA from 1 species